AGUACAAAUGGCGGCAUCUGGUCAAGUUAUUUCGUAUUAAAUGUUUUGUUGAAAAAUACGACUACAGAUGAGUGCAACCGUAUUUCGGUUUUUGUAUCAGUGAAUCCAAAUGAUGAGGUAUGCACGAGGCAGCUCACAAUGGUGCCGGUAACUGUGCUUCAAUACCACCGUCAAAUUUGUGAUUUCUAUUCGUUCUACUAAUCUAGUAUUGAGAAUACAUCGUCUAACGAAAAAAGCAUGAUGUAAGUAUGGCAGAAGGUGGAAUAGAACCAAAGCACAGUGACAAUCAGGUAUCUAAAUUUCAAUUGGAGGUAAAUGAGUGUCUUGGUAAUUGGCUAGUGUACUUACAGACGCUUAAUGGCCUGUGCACAGCGGGUACAAAAUUGGCUCAAUCAUUACAAACACUUCUGUCAGCUCAUGAUACGUUAACACAAUGCAGGUUAACAGGACAAUGUCUUGCCGGUUGGGAGGAGCUUACAAGAGCAACGUGCAUAGCCAGCAAUACUGUGAAAAAUCAUAUCAUUUCUGCAUUAAGGGAUCAUGAAACUCGAGAAAAUGAAGGGGAUAAGCAUGACAUACUUAGAGAUAAUUUAUUGUCAUUCAUAAAUCUACAAUAUCAAUUCUGCGUUGCUUGUUGCGAAUGCCUAGGGGGAAUGGCAGAAUGCUCCUGUUCUCAGAGUGGUACAACCGAAUGUGAUAUUGCCUCUCUUCAACAAUGUUUUGAAAGACUGUACAGUUCACAACCACUAGUAUCUUCAUCGUCAACGCAACAAUCUGUACAAAAUUUUCAUAGAUCACCUUUACCAUAUCCCUUAUUUCCUCUGCAGGUUCAGAGGAGAUGGUCCGAGACCGCAGCCGCGGAAAUGUCGGGUGAAGUAUUAGAAAAUACUAUGAGAAGAUGGUCUAUGCCAUGGGAUUGUAGAAACAUCACAGACUGGCCGCGACAAGAUGUUAGAUCGCGAUUAAGAAUACCUCAUCAAAACAGAAGUAGAUCUACCACACCAGAUACAAUAUGGAAAGCAUCUACGAUGGCUAGCCAAGAUGGCUUGCAGGAGGCAAUUCAAUUGUUAUCUUGUAAACCAGGAAUUAGGCCACUAAAUCAAUUAAUUGCUUAUACAAAUCAACAUAUCCCAGGUGUUACAUUAACAACGUGCAAUUUUGAGUCAAACUACGAUUCAGUUAUGUGGCCAGCAUCUCGUAAAAUAGGUUUUCCAAGGUAUUGGCCACGUGGUUCCCAUUCAAGUGACCAUUCUGAUCAAUCAGGACAUCGCGAAAGUGAUCAGAGUGCACAUAGUGGAGAACACAGAGAUUCGGAACAAAGUGGAACUAGUGGUAGUCACGGAGAUAGCAAAGAUAGCAUUCAUUCGCACAGUGAUCAUAGAGAAGUCGAAUUUGGUACCGUAGAUACACUACCAUUACGUAAGAGCAGUUCUUCGACGGAUUCUUGCAUAUCAGCCUAUAGUCGGUCAGGUUCCGAGAGCGCUGGUGGUGGGGAAUGCGCGAGAUCUCAAUUAUAUUCUAUGUGGAGUGGCAGUGAUUUGCCUUUCAUUAAAUUGCCAGAAAGCAAUGAAACGCAAGACGAACAUCCGCCUGUAUAAAUACGUGGUAUGUAAACAUGUUUUGUGUUUUUCUUUCAAAUGCUGCAACUUUUGUUGUAUUUAUAAUCGCAAUGCAGUAACGCGCGUUAAUAAUGCGUAUAUGAAUUAAUGUAUGUGAUCGUUGAAAAUACGCGUAAAACGCGGCACUUGAUGUUCAAUAUAAAGUAGAGUCGAAUGGGUGUGUUUGUACAAUAUAUUGCGCGAUAAAUCGGUACAUAAUCGUUCAAAGAAUGAAAUAUAUUCAAAAUAGAACUGUUUAUAAAAGUUGAUUGUAAGAUUUUUGAUUGUCUGCGCUAGUUUAUUUAUGGACGAUCAUUUGAUAUUGGCUCCGUUUUCCCUGUCUAGUCUAUCGAUAAUUUUCAAGGAAAAAUUGCUCAUCGGUAUCUUUUCAAUGUAAUUUCAUUUCCGAGUUCCGCUCUUCGUUCAAUAUGAUAAAACUUUAAUGGAAUCUCCAAUUUUUAGUAUCAAUAUUAUGCUAAUAUGUUGUUAUUUAUAUUACAUAUAACCACAUGAAUUGGAAAUUGAAAACUUGAACAUUUUUUCCUACUCGAACCCUUAUACUAUCUUAAUAUUAUACAUUGGUAUAACCAAAUGCAGUAUUAAACCAUAUAGUAUAAAUUACAUUUUCUACAAUUUAAUUAUUCGCGUGUGCAUAAUAUCAUCAAUCGUACAGAUCGUCUCUGCUCCUCUAACGUGCGUAACCUCUGUCAUUUUGUUAAUAUCGUAUAAUUAUAGAACUUUUCAUCGCCAUAACAUUGGUCAAAAUUGGUCGUCUUCGCACCUCUAACGCGCGUAACCUCUGUCAUCUUGUUAACAUCGUAUAGUCGUAGAACUUCUUAUCGUCGUAACAUUGAUCAAACAUUUUACAAUACAAAACCUUUUAAAAUACAAACAUUUUAAAAUAUAGAGAAGUAAACAUUAGAGGAACAUAGACAAUAGGUUUUGUUUGAAUAAUUGACGCAUCGGAUACGCGUCAAUUAAUUAUGAAUGAGUCGAUACAUGUACAACUUGAUUCAUAUGGCACAGAAAAAAUAAAACAUUUGACACCGCAGAGUUACUUACAUGCAUAUUUAACACUUAAGAAUGAGGAAUGAGACUACAUGUUAUGCCGUUGAAGUCACACCAUAAGCCAAUCAGUUCGAAACAUCGUUAAAUUUGUUUGUUAUUUUUUUUUUUGCGUUUGCUUAAUUAAAUCCAAACGCGAUACCAUUAGAUGUAUCGACAAUCGAUUGCUUUCAGCCUUACAGAACAUAAUGAUUUAAAUUAUAUUUACUAACGAACGGAUCCCUUUUAAAGGGAACGAUGUCCAUCACUUAUCGCAUAUUUUGUAGAAAAUCGUUCUAAAAGGACGAGACAGUCGUCAGUCGUAAAGUUAAUUUUCACAUAAUGUCGAAACGAUGAGUAUCACAAACAAGUAUUAUACAAACGGCGUCACUGUUUGUAAUUCAAUUCAUGAAAGUAUCAUCGUCACUGAGAUUGCACUCACCCAUGACAUUUGAAAUUUUUAUACAUUUUAAUACAUACAGUCCACUGAAAGAAACAGGCUGAAGAAAGAACCGAUAAUAUUAAUCGAUCUCUUCUUCCACCAAAUCAUCUUCGUCUUGGCCGUAAUCGUCGUACUGAUCUUUUAAGUCGUCUUCAUCUUUGUCCAAAGGACAAUGUAUGCAUCUGGAUUCGUUUAUACCAUAAUUGAUACAGGUGUCUCCUAUACAUUCGCAACAACCAUCGUGAAACCAUCUGUAACUCGUAGCACCCAUGCUUUGGCAAGACGCCCGACAUUUGUUCCAGGAGUUACAUUGAGCCAUAAAUGCAACGGUGCAAUUCACUGUCAUUACGUUUGGUUUCAAUGGAUGUAUCUCUUCGUCAGCGGUAUCUGAAAGGACCAAAAAUUCCUUCGUCUGAACGGAUUUCAUGUAAACGUAUCUUUACAACAACAACAAAGAAGGAAAGUAUAAAUACAUACGCAUAUGGUAUUUUAUUUCUUUGUCGUGUUUUGGCGUAAAUAAAGACAUGUCGAAAUCCACCGGAAAUGUGAAUGUGAGCCAACGUUCGUGUGGAUCCGGUUCUGCAGUUAGCGCUUGGAACAAGCCUGGCAUCGGCUCGCUAAAGUCCUCCACGUGAGACUUCUUGCUUAAUGGAUUGUCCGUUAUGUUUGGUUUUGGACAUAGAUCUACAGACAACGAGAUAAACGAUUAAGAAACGCAGAUAUACUUGUGAUUCGUGACGUUCGUUCGCGAACAUUGAGAACCGUAGAAAAUAGAAGCGACAGCUUACCUACGCAUGAACAGCACUCGUCGUAAAGCUCUGCGUAAGCAUACACUUACUGACGACACUGGCGCAAAUCGCUUCGUUGCAUCCUUCGCAGUGUUUGGUGAUUGUCGACAGAAAUGAAAUUUCAAUGAUAGCGACGACUAGCGCUCUGCUCCAACUCAUCAUCGUGUUCUAAAGAAACAGUACAUCGGCGAACAUUAAUAUCACACUGGCUCAACUGGUUUCAACGGUAGGCGAAACUUUUCCUUCGCGCUUGACGGAUCUUUGCGUCGAUCGAACGAAAUAAAACACGUUCCGAGGUCAAACUUCUAAUGUACAUAGCGAUAGGAACAGCGGUAUCAAGUUUACAUGUACUGUAAGAAGGUUAUCGAGAUCAAUUAAAAAAGCGAUAAAUUGGCGCCACUUCCUUCUAAUGAUGUAACAUCGCGAAGGAGCAAAAACAUACGCAUCUACUAUCAAGUCCACGGUGGACCGUGAAUCGCGUAUGUUGAUUACGACCAUGAAGCUCGAUUAAGGUUAUUAAGAAUAUUCAUGAACGUGAGUCAGGAUGUCAUUAAGAGGGGGUCGUGUGCCGAAACAACGAACUUUUAA